rnacentral:tRNA from 1 species
UUAGAUUAAUCGGACGAGAAUAAAGAGAGAGUCCCAUUCUACAUGUUAAU